GAUGAACGCUAGCGGGAGGCCUAACACAUGCAAGCCGAGCGGGAUUUGUUGGUUAGCUUGCUAACUAACAAUGAGAGCGGCGUACGGGUGCGUAGCACGUGUGCAACCUGCCUUUAUCUGGGGGAUAGCCUUUCGAAAGGAAGAUUAAUACCCCAUAACAUAUUGAUUGGCAUCAGUUAAUAUUGAAAGCUCCGGCGGAUAGAGAUGGGCACGCGUAAGAUUAGCUAGUUGGUGAGGUAACGGCUCACCAAGGCUGCGAUCUUUAGGGGGCCUGAGAGGGUGAUCCCCCACACUGGUACUGAGACACGGACCAGACUCCUAAGGGAGGCAGCAGUGAGGAAUAUUGGACAAUGGGUGAGAGCCUGAUCCAGCCAUCCCGCGUGAAGGACUAAGGACCUAUGGUUUGUAAACUUCUUUUAUACAGGGAUAAACCUACUCUCGUGAGGGUAGCUGAAGGUACUGUAUGAAUAAGCACCGGCUAACUCCGUG
rnacentral:rRNA from 1 species